rnacentral:lncRNA from 1 species
UCCAUCCCACCCUCAUCCUCACAAAUUCCUCCCUCACUUCCACCCUGAAUCUCUUUUUUCCCCUAAAACCAUCACCCCACCCUCCUCUCGCUCACAAGUGAGGCAUCAGGAAAUCCCCCUGGAGCAUUUUCUGAUUUUUGAUGCCUGAACUCCUCAAAGGUGGGGAAAGGUUUCACUGCAGGGCCAUGGGGAUCCCUCCUUCCCUCCCUUCACCUGCGCAGCAGCGGGUCCUGGUGUCCCAGCCGUGUCCCAGCCGUGUCCCAGCCGUGUCCCAGCCGUGUCCAGCAGGACAGAGGCAGCUCCGUGCCCCUCUGGACACUCUGGUGCUCCCCCCGGAGCUCCUGGAGCAGCUGGAAUCUCUGCAUUGCCUUUUUCAGUAAAUGCUGCUGCUGGGACGGGGCCUGGCUGCCUCUGGAGCACAUCCAGGGGCUCUGCCAGGGAAAUCCUGAACUUCCAACGGGAUCAAACCCCGGAGCAGGGAGCUGGCCCCAGCCCUGGGGGUUUGUGCCCCAAGCAAAGCGGGUGUGAGGCUCCUGAAGAGCACAGAGCUGUUCCCACGGCUUUGCGGGGCUGGGACAAUCCUGAUUUUCCUGUCUCCCCUUGCUGUGCACCCCAAAGAUGUGUUAUCCCUGGAAAUCUGCCCCAAGGGCUUCUCCCCUCUCCUGCCCCAGCACAGCCGGGCCCAGCAGGAAUAAAUUCCAUUACAGGAAUCCAAUCCACUGGGAUCCACCUCCCCUUCCCAGCUUCUCAUUCCCUGCCAGGGCCAGACCCUUCUUCCCACCCUGUCCAUGCCCAGGGGGAUGCUGAGCCCCCCCUGCACCUCCAGCCUGGCUGUUCCCGACCCUGCAGUGGAUCCAUCCCACCCUGGAGAACCGGGCAAAGCCAGGAGCGGGCAGUGCCAGCCCUUCCCAAGGAUCCAGCAGGAUCCAGGGGCUCCCUCCCAGCCCCUCUCCAUCCCCCUGCCCCGUGGGAUGGACAAAGAGAUCCUGCCCUGGGUCUGGACCAUGCCCGAGGAGGAUCCUGAGCCUCGUCAGGAUUCCUGGGAUGUCUGGUGUCCCCUCACAUCCCAACCCCUGCUGCCAGGACCACCCCCAGCCCGGGCAGGUCCCUGCUGGAGCAGCCUGUGGGUGAUGGGAAGGGCUCCAGCACCUCUCCCAAGCCGUGGAGAUGCCGUGGGGGAGCUCUCCCAAG